rnacentral:rRNA from 1 species
ACUCCUGCGGGAGGCAGCAGUGGGGAAUAUUGGACAAUGGGCGCAAGCCUGAUCCAGCCAUGCCGCGUGAGUGAUGAAGGCCCUAGGGUUGUAAAGCUCUUUCACCGGUGAAGAUAAUGACGGUAACCGGAGAAGAAGCCCCGGCUAACUUCGUGCCAGCAGCCGCGGUAAUACGAAGGGGGCUAGCGUUGUUCGGAUUUACUGGGCGUAAAGCGCACGUAUGCGGACUAUUAAGUCAGGGGUGAAAUCCCGGGGCUCAACCCCGGAACUGCCUUUGAUACUGGUAGUCUUGAGUUCGAGAGAGGUGAGUGGAAUUCCGAGUGUAGAGGUGAAAUUCGUAGAUAUUCGGAGGAACACCAGUGGCGAAGGCGGCUCACUGGCUCGAUACUGACGCUGAGGUGCGAAAGCGUGGGGAGCAAACAGGAUUAGAAACCCGAGUAGUCCCAUG